UGGGGAAUUUUGGACAAUGGGGGGAAACCCUGAUCCAGCCAUCCCGCGUGUGCGAUGAAGGCCUUCGGGUUGUAAAGCACUUUUGGCAGGAAAGAAACGUCGCGGGUUAAUACCCCGCGAAACUGACGGUACCUGCAGAAUAAGCACCGGCUAACUACGUGCCAGCAGCCGCGGUAAUACGUAGGGUGCAAGCGUUAAUCGGAAUUACUGGGCGUAAAGCGUGCGCAGGCGGUUCGGAAAGAAAGAUGUGAAAUCCCAGAGCUUAACUUUGGGAACUGCAUUUUUAACUACCGGGCUAGAGUGUGUCAGAGGGAGGUGGAAUUCCGCGUGUAGCAGUGAAAUGCGUAGAUAUGCGGAGGAACACCGAUGGCGAAGGCAGCCUCCUGGGAUAACACUGACGCUCAUGCACGAAAGCGUGGGGAGCAAACAGGAUUAGAUACCCUGGUAGUCCACGCCCUAAACGAUGUCAACUAGCUGUUGGGGGCCUUCGGGCCUUGGUAGCGCAGCUAACGCGUGAAGUUGACCGCCUGGGGAGUACGGUCGCAAGAUU
rnacentral:rRNA from 1 species